UGACGCGUUCCUGUCACCAAAGCACAAAGCAAACAUCAUUGCACAAUAGCGUUAGGACAGUGAAAAUAAAAAUGCCGAUCUAACAUGCGUGGGCAGUGUGGGGCUGCAGCCGAGUAGGGGAAGAGUCACCCGCUGUUCCAGGCUGGCGGGGGAACCCCAUGCACAGCCCUGCCCUGCUGGGCCUGGGAAUGGCCCUGAAGUACACAAUGGAGGCACUGUCUGCAGAGAACGGGAUCCAGCCAUAGGUGGGUGUGCCCAGCCACUCCAAGGGUUUUGAAACUGUGCCUUCAGAAGUAAACCAGGCUGGUAAACACGCUAGGAGGGACUGGUAAUGUCUUAAGGAUGAGGGCCUGGGUGCCUGGCUCCUCCACACCUUGGGGUAACCCAUGUUCAGAGCCCAGGAUCUUCCUCUCCUGCACUGCUCUCCUGUGGCAGGGGACGCUCUGCACCAUGCUGGACGGAUGCAAAGGACUUUCUUAUCUGUUCCCUCACCUGAUCACCGCCUCCCAUGUGCUUCUGGCCGCCCGGCGCUUUACGGCUGUGACCUCAUCAGCAUUCUCCCCUCCCCUGCAGCAACAUUAAUGUGAGAGAUCAAGAAGUUCUGUCUCCCUGACCCCAGGCCUGAUCAUGCUGCAAGCUUUAAGCUGAAGAAGUACACGUACUGGAGAUGAAAGUGAUCUGAUGACAGUGGAGGCGACCAAGACAGGACAAUUUCCUACCCAGAAAUCCACGUCAAGGCCACUAAGAAACUGGUAUCACUUAA
rnacentral:lncRNA from 1 species